rnacentral:rRNA from 1 species
UACGGGGGGGGCAAGCGUUGUUCGGAAUUACUGGGCGUAAAGGGCUCGUAGGCGGCCCACUAAGUCCGACGUGAAAUUCCCAGGCUUAACUUGGGAACUGCGUCGGAUACUGGUGGGCUUGAAUCCGGGAGAGGGAUGCGGAAUUCCAGGUGUAGCGGUGAAAUGCGUAGAUAUCUGGAGGAACACCGGUGGCGAAGGCGGCAUCCUGGACCGGCAUUGACGCUGAGUGAGCGAAAGCCAGGGGAGCAAACGGG